AACUAGUACGCUCUGUGGU
rnacentral:miRNA from 1 species